CAGCUUGCUGGGUGGAUCAGUGGCGAACGGGUGAGUAACACGUGAGCAAUCUGCCCCUGACUCUGGGAUAAGCGCUGGAAACGGCGUCUAAUACUGGAUAUGAACCGUGGAGGCAUCUUCAACGGUUGGAAAGAUUUUUUGGUCAGGGAUGAGCUCGCGGCCUAUCAGCUUGUUGGUGAGGUAAUGGCUCACCAAGGCGUCGACGGGUAGCCGGCCUGAGAGGGUGACCGGCCACACUGGGACUGAGACACGGCCCAGACUCCUACGGGAGGCAGCAGUGGGGAAUAUUGCACAAUGGGCGCAAGCCUGAUGCAGCAACGCCGCGUGAGGGAUGACGGCCUUCGGGUUGUAAACCUCUUUUAGCAGGGAAGAAGCGAAAGUGACGGUACCUGCAGAAAAAGCGCCGGCUAACUACGUGCCAGCAGCCGCGGUAAUACGUAGGGCGCAAGCGUUAUCCGGAAUUAUUGGGCGUAAAGAGCUCGUAGGCGGUUUGUCGCGUCUGCUGUGAAAUCCCGAGGCUCAACCUCGGGUCUGCAGUGGGUACGGGCAGACUAGAGUGCGGUAGGGGAGAUUGGAAUUCCUGGUGUAGCGGUGGAAUGCGCAGAUAUCAGGAGGAACACCGAUGGCGAAGGCAGAUCUCUGGGCCGUAACUGACGCUGAGGAGCGAAAGGGUGGGGAGCAAACAGGCUUAGAUACCCUGGUAGUCCACCCCGUAAACGUUGGGAACUAGUUGUGGGGUCCAUUCCACGGAUUCCGUGACGCAGCUAACGCAUUAAGUUCCCCGCCUGGGGGAGUACGGCCGCAAGGCUAAAACUCAAAGGAAUUGACGGGGACCCGCACAAGCGGCGGAGCAUGCGGAUUAAUUCGAUGCAACGCGAAGAACCUUACCAAGGCUUGACAUAUACCAAGAACGCUGCAAGAAAAUGUAGAACUCUUUUGGACACUCGUAA
rnacentral:rRNA from 1 species